rnacentral:rRNA from 1 species
AUUGAACGCUGGCGGCAUGCCUAACACAUGCAAGUCGAACGGCAGCGCGGGGGCAACCCUGGCGGCGAGUGGCGGACGGGUGAGGAAUACAUGGGAAUCUACCCUGUCGUGGGGGAUAACGUAGGGAAACUUACGCUAAUACCGCAUACGACCGAGAGGUGAAAGCGGCGGACCGCAAGGCGUCGCGCGGCUGGAUGAGCCCAUGUCGGAUUAGCUAGUUGGCGGGGUAAAGGCCCACCAAGGCGACGAUCCGUAGCUGGUCUGAGAGGAUGAUCAGCCACACUGGAACUGAGACACGGUCCAGACUCCUACGGGAGGCAGCAGUGGGGAAUAUUGGACAAUGGGCGCAAGCCUGAUCCAGC